UUUUCAGUUUCAAAGGUGUGUAAUGUCUUACACUGAAAGGCAUCCAGGUUCAGACCUUUUCAAGUCUUCAUGAUCUACUGUAAUGAUCUACAUGGGUUGACAUUUUAAACAACGACAGACACACACUACUGCAGAGCUUGACAUGUCACGCCAAGGGACUUGCAUAUCUACACACAGAUGUUUGAACACAUGGA